rnacentral:rRNA from 1 species
AGUGAACGCUGGCGGUAGGCCUAACACAUGCAAGUCGAACGGCAGCACAGUAAGAGCUUGCUCUUACGGGUGGCGAGUGGCGGACGGGUGAGGAAUACAUCGGAAUCUACUUUUUCGUGGGGGAUAACGUAGGGAAACUUACGCUAAUACCGCAUACGACCUACGGGUGAAAGCAGGGGAUCUUCGGACCUUGCGCGAUCGAAUGAGCCGAUGUCGGAUUAGCUAGUUGGCGGGGUAACGUCCCACCAAGGCGACGAUCCGUAGCUGCUCUGAGAGGAUGAUCGGCCACACUGGAACUGAGACACGGUCCAGAGUCCUACGGGAGGCAGCAGUGGGGAAUAUUGCGCAAUGGGCGAAAGCCUGAUCCAGCCAUACCGCGUGGGUGAAGAAGGCCUUCGGGUUGUAAAACCCUUUUGUUGGGAAAGAAAAGCAGCAGAUGAAUACCGCGCUGUUCUGACGGUACCCAAAGAAUAAGCACCGGCUAACUUCGUG